UGCCCAGAAUGUACCGAUUGGCGAUGGCCCACUUCGUGAAGAUUGUCGAAAACAAGUGUAAGAAGCAGUCUGCGUAAACCUUACCUAUGAGCGCCCUGUCUCUCAGUGAUGGGCUGACCUUCCCUGGCAAAUGCAGAGGUUUCAACGUCUUGCUUCAAUAAAUCACUUUCCCUGCA